rnacentral:rRNA from 1 species
CGGGUGAGUAACACGUGGGUAACCUACCUAUAAGACUGGAAUAACUCCGGGAAACCGGGGCUAAUGCCGGAUAACAUUUAGAACCGCAUGGUUCUAAAGUGAAAGAUGGUUUUGCUAUCACUUAUAGAUGGACCCGCGCCGUAUUAGCUAGUUGGUAAGGUAAUGGCUUACCAAGGCAACGAUACGUAACCGACCUGAGAGGGUGAUCGGCCACACUGGAACUGAGACACGGUCCAGACUCCUACGGGAGGCAGCAGUAGGGAAUCUUCCGCAAUGGGCGAAAGCCUGACGGAGCAACGCCGCGUGAGUGAUGAAGGGUUUCGGCUCGUAAAACUCUGUUAUUAGGGAAUAACAAACGUGUAAGUAACUGU